CACUCCUUUUUAAGCAUUCAUGUGACAGUCAGCGUGUCAGUCAGUCAGGCUGCUGCGUUUUUGGCUGACUCUGCAGAGGCUUACCUGCAGCCCAGCUGGCAGGAUGAAAGUCCAGUGGUGGAGCUGUGUGUUGGGAUUACUCUUCCUGCCCACUGAGGUAACACUCAACACCUGGACAGGACACAGACUGGUAUUACUGCAGCUGGACGUACUUCAAAUCAGAUACCAGAGUAACCCUCCGCAGCAAUGGCACCGUUAUCAUCGUCAGAGAGAAGGAUCCCAGUGAACAAUGCAGUUUCCAAUUUUUGGAUCUCGUCUUCAUUACCUUGAGUGUGACAGCAUUCACCAUCAUAUUGUUCCUCGUCAUUGGAGCCCUGAUUUUGAGAUGCAAAUGAUUUAAAAAGCACUUCUGACCCGAGAGUGCUCACUGCAUGAGGUGGAGGUGCUGUCCUGCCCAGGAGGGUGCUUGAGCAGCCGUGGACAGGCGAGGAGCGAGGCAGGA